CUCAACUUGUGAGGGAUUCACCUAUAUUACCUCUGCACCUGUAAUAAGACUAAGAAGACGGUGGCUGCACAUGUAGUUAACACCGAUUGUACCGCGACUUCGCCUUUCCGCAGCCUUUGUACCAACCUGCAGAGCCCUUUUGAGCCAAGAGCUGGACUUGGGGAGUAAAGAAGCUCAUUGUAAACGCCAGGAGGAAUUUCUUCAGGGUGAAGUUGACUUCCAAUCGGCUUCAUUCUAAAGGAAACAUGUGGAGCAAACAAACGGGAACUUUCUUUCUCAUCUUCUGCAUUUCAAGCCUAAUAAAAUUAGACGUUUCCACUGUCCUGCUCAGUCUCGAAGCUGUCGGCAGAUUCCGCUUUUAACUCUCAACACAGACACUCAGGAAAUCGGGAAAUCCCUGCAGCUCCCUCAGAAGCUAUCAGUAUCAGCGGUUCCCGAACCCGCAAACAAAAAACGCAACAUCACGUGCUCCUCCAAAGAGCCUAGCCUGUCUAUCGAGCGAUGGAAAGAGCGGCGAGGCGCUCUCGCAGCCGUGGCAGUCUGGACGAAAAGAACCAGGUCCCUUUCCUGGUCUAGCCUACCUCCCUACCUCUCUUCCCUCAUAUCCAGAAGAAGCGACGGAGAGGAGAAACGGCGUUUUGCCAUGUUGGCCAGGCUGUUCUCGAUUUCUGACCUGAAGCGAUCCACACGUCUCAACCUCCCAAAGUGCUGAGACUACAAGCGUGAGCCACCGCGCCCGGCCUAUACAAUUACAUAUGUAUAAUUUCAUACUGAUGCCUCCAAUUCCCAUCAACACCAACAGGACUAUUCUUUACCUGCUUUCUCUUACAGUGACAGCCUGUUUCCAACAACACACGCGCUCACACACACUCAUUUUCCCAAUCCUAAAAUUCACACAAAAUCUCAGAAUUCCUGCAGCCUUAGCUCUAAAAAAAAAACCCUCAUACAUAGAGUUUAAGAUUUGUUUCCUCUUCUUUUUGUACUUACAAUUAGAACAACGAACUUUGUCAAGCAUUUUCUUAAAUCAGUUAUUUCAAUGGGGUUAUGUUAUUCUUUCACAAUGCAGUUUUAAUUUGCCUCUAUUUGUGUUGAAUUUUAGGGUAUUUUCACACACACUUGAGUCAGUUUUAUUUUUUGACCAUGUGAGACUAACACGCUUCCAAGAGUCAAAAGAAUACAGAACAUUAUAAUCAGAAAAUUUGCAAGAGAAUGUUGUAUGCCAGGACACACUCAAAUGAUUGAAUGCAAGUAUGCUCCAGGAAAUCUAACGCGAUGGGGAGCCCACCGUGGGGUGAGUUGAUCUUGGACUGACCACAAAUCAGGAACAGUGCCUUUAUUUGUACUAUUAAGCUACCUUUCUUUUGGUGUAGCAGGGCCUAAGAGAGGAAACACUUCCUGUAGGAAAUUGAGAGUGGAAUUGAAAACAUAAAGAUUAUCAUGACACAGAGCCCAGACUCAGACAAUAAUAGUCAUCAAAAUAUUCUCUAAAAGGCAAGUCUUCCAGAGGGGGUAUAGCUCAGCGGUAGAGCGCGUGCUUAGCAUGCACGAGGUCCUGGGUUCAAUCCCCAAUACCUCCAGGUUUUGUUUUCUUCCCCGGGCACUAGUGAGAAGCGGUCCAUGAUAUUCCCCAACUUUAAAUUUUUCUGUCUGUCAAGGUGAAUUGUGUUGGCCUCUGCAUUUCUCUCUCAUACACAGAGGUGACUCGUGUUUAUUCCUUUGAAUCUAUUUGCUGCUUAGGAUUAUCCACUUAUAUUUUCUAAGCAGUCCACCAAUCACUAACAUGAACCACGCACGAGGGAAGCAAGCAGUAUUCCUGGCCAUGCAACCAAUUUCUAGUUGUAAAUGAAAUCAUCAGAAACCAUAGAACUGUGUGGCCCAAGUCUGAUUUCAGAUCAGAAGCUAAAAAGGCUCACGUCCUUUUCUGUUUCUUCUUCUAACUCCCUCUAACCAGGUUGAGAAGCCCUACAAGCUUUCACUAAAAGAUUACACUGCCGGUGGUUGAUGAUUUGAUGUGCUGGUGGUCACUUUUUCCAUUAGAGACCCACAUAGUUUGAAACUUAAACUAUUUAACUACAAACACAAGGCAAAUGAUGAAAAGAUAGCAGUCACCUCAGCUGAAAUUUGGUGGAAGUAAAAAGUACUUCUCUGGGUCCUCAAGGAAGUUUCUGGUCUGAGAUGCAAAUACUCUGAACUCCAGGAAACAAGAUCAGUAUAGGAGAAAGCUCAUUUUGUUGUUUUUCAUAAAUAAAAGUAAUGAACGUUUAUUCUCCCAAGCCCAACGGAUCCUUUUCUACCUGAUUGUACUUACUCUCCAGAAAUAACCUCCUUCUAAGCUAGGGAACAACCCAUACCUCCAGAUUAGAGAGCUCUUUGUAGAGUUUCUGAUUCUGGUAUUACAGUACUAAGCAGAAAUCCACAGGGAAAUACUCUGCAAGCAUGUUAAUACUAACUUGUUAAAAGAAAAUCUGCUUUUAUUUUCAUCUUUAUUUCAUGCCAACAAAGCAAAAAAAAAAAUAAGUUACUAAACACCCAGAAGGCAGAAAAGUGACCUCUAUCCAUCUGCAGGAGCCAAGCAAGCGUGUGGGCUUCCGUAUGCAUCCUUUCUUUUACUCACUUUCUAAAUGCUGUAACGGUCCACCAUCUACCAGGUGGUCACAAGUCAUCGCUAAACUCAAUCUGAGGUCAGCCCACACGACUUGUGAGUGGUUCACUUAUAUUGCCUCUGCACCUGUAACAG
rnacentral:tRNA from 1 species